ACAGAGGAUGAGAUGGCUGGAUGGCAUCACUGACUCGAUGGACGGGAUCUUCCUGACCCAGGGAUUGAACCCAGGUCUCCCGCAUUGUAGACAGAUGCUUGACUGUCUGAACCAGACCAUAGUACUAAGCUUAGCUGAUAAAGAUGGUAUUCCUGAUAGACAGUGUUAUGUCAUAUGAGCUGACUUGUCUCCAAAUAUACUGAUCCUGUUGCCAGGUGUCCAUGAGAAUGAAAAUAAUUCUGAAGCAAUCAUUCUAAGUAAAUCCUGCUGCUGCUGCUAAGUCACUUCAGUCGUGUCCGACUUGGUGCCACCCCAUAGACGUCAGCCCACCAGGCUUCCCCGCCCCUGGGAUUCUCCAGGCAAGAACACUGGAG